rnacentral:rRNA from 1 species
GACGAACGCUGGCGGCGUGCUUAACACAUGCAAGUCGAACGGAAAGGCCCUGCUUUUGUGGGGUGCUCGAGUGGCGAACGGGUGAGUAACACGUGACUAACCUGCCCUUGACUUUGGGAUAACUUCAGGAAACUGGGGCUAAUACCGGAUAGGAGCUCCUGCUGCAUGGUGGGGGUUGGAAAGUUUCGGCGGUUGGGGAUGGACUCGCGGCUUAUCAGCUUGUUGGUGGGGUAGUGGCUUACCAAGGCUUUGACGGGUAGCCGGCCUGAGAGGGUGACCGGCCACAUUGGGACUGAGAUACGGCCCAGACUCCUACGGGAGGCAGCAGUGGGGAAUAUUGCACAAUGGGCGGAAGCCUGAUGCAGCAACGCCGCGUGCGGGAUGACGGCCUUCGGGUUGUAAACCGCUUUCGCCUGUGACGAAGCGUGAGUGACGAUAAUGGGUAAAGAAGCACCGGCUAACUACGUG